rnacentral:lncRNA from 1 species
UGCUCCCUAUUGCCUUUGCCUUGGCUGUACAAGUUGGUGUGGAGGAUAUAAGGGUCGCCGCUCAAGUUCCCCAAGAACUCCAAGUCUAUCUCGUCCCAGGUCGACCCGUCCGAAUGUAACUGCGUAACAAGAAUGACAUCAAUCGCGUUAGCACUGUUCAUCGAAAUCCCUUUUGGCUACUUACAUAUUGAUCCAAGAUGGAUUUUUAGUUAAGCGAGUCAAUCGUGCUCAUGAGCUAGAAUCUUUAUGGUAUAAGACUUGCGUUUCUCUAGAACGAAAUUGAAUGAGUUUCUCGCGUCAAUAUAGCAAAAAACGAGCUUAAAUAAUGAUUUCUUUCUUUUUUGUCUUUUCCAAACUGUACGAAAAGGAUGGUCGAACUUACGUAUAAGGUGGUGACAGUGCCCGCGGAGUUGCCGGGGACGAGCUUGAUUUGCGUGUCGAAUUUGCCAUAGAGGUACUGGUUCUUGGACUUGAAGCCGGAGCCAGAGG